AUUGAACGCUGGCGGCAGGCCUAACACAUGCAAGUCGAGCGAGCGGCGGACGGGUGAGUAAUGUAUGGGGACUGCCCGAUAGAGGGGGAUCACCACUGGAAACGGUGGCUAAUACCGCAUACUAUCGGAUAACCCAUAUGGGAUUAGCUAGUAGGUGGGGUAAAGGCUAACCUAGGCGACGAUCGCUAGCUGGUCGGAGAGGAUGAUCGGCCACACUGGGACUGGGACACGGCCCAGCUUCCUACGGGGGCAGCAGUGGGGAAUAUUGCACAAUGGGCGAAAGCCUGAUGCAUCCAUGCCGCGUGUAUGAAGAAGGCCUUAGGGUUUUAAGGUACUUUCAGCGGGGAGGCGUUACCCGCAGAGGAAGCACCGGCUAACUACGUGCCAGCAGCCGCGGUAAUUC
rnacentral:rRNA from 1 species